rnacentral:rRNA from 1 species
UACGUAGGGUGCAAGCGUUAAUCGGAAUUACUGGGCGUAAAGCGUGCGCAGGCGGUUAUGUAAGACAGAUGUGAAAUGCCCGGGCUUAACCUGGGAACUGCAUUUGUGACUGCAUGGCUAGAGUUUGGCAGAGGGGGGUAGAAUUCCACGGUGUAGCAGUGAAAUGCGUAGAUAUGUGGAGGAACACCAAUGGCGAAGGCGACCACGCUGGGCCGUACCUGACACUGAU